AGUCGAGGGGUAACAGUUCCAAGCAAUUGGAAGCUGACGACCGGCGAACGGGUGCGUAACGCGUAUGCAACCUACCUUUAACUGGAGAAUAGCCCGGAGAAAUUCGGAUUAAUACUCCAUAACAUCAUAACAAGGCAUCUUAUAAUGAUUAAAGAUUUAUUGGUUAAAGAUGGGCAUGCGUGACAUUAGUUAGUUGGUGAGGUAACGGCUCACCAAGACAACGAUGUCUAGGGGUUCUGAGAGGACUAUCCCCCACACUGGUACUGAGACACGGACCAGACUCCUACGGGAGGCAGCAGUGAGGAAUAUUGGUCAAUGGACGCAAGUCUGAACCAGCCAUGCCGCGUGCAGGAUGACGGCCCUAUGGGUUGUAAACUGCUUUUAUGCGGGAAGAAACCUCCGGUCGUGAUCGGAGCUGACUGUACCGUAAGAAUAAGCACCGGCUAACUCCGUGCCAGCAGCCGCGGUAAUACGGAGGGUGCAAGCGUUAUCCGGAUUUAUUGGGUUUAAAGGGUGCGCAGGCGGAAUAGUAAGUCAGUGGUGAAAUCCCCCGGCUCAACCGGGGACCUGCCAUUGAUACUGCUAAUCUAGAGUUUAGUUGAAGUGGGCGGAAUGUAGCAUGUAGCGGUGAAAUGCAUAGAUAUGCUACAGAACACCGAUUGCGAAGGCAGCUCACUAAGCUAAAACUGACGCUCAGGCACGAAAGCGUGGGGAUCAAACAGGAUUAGAUACCCUGGUAGUCCACGCUGUAAACGAUGAUCACUCGUUGUUGGCGAUACACUGUCAGCGACUGAGCGAAAGUAUUAAGUGAUCCACCUGGAAUUACGAUCGCAAGGUUGAAACUCAAGGAAUUGACGGGGCCGCACAAGCGGUGGAGCAUGUGGUUUAUCGAUGAUACGCGAGGAUCUACUGGCUAAUGUGGACGACAGUCCCGAAGGGAUCUUCCUUUAGACGUCUACAGUGCUGCAU
rnacentral:rRNA from 1 species